rnacentral:tRNA from 1 species
UCCCCAGUGAUUUAGUGGUAAAGACUCUGCACUCUCAAUGUAGGGGGGCCAGGUUCAAACCCUGGUCAGGGAA